rnacentral:rRNA from 1 species
AACGCGAAGAACCUUACCAGCCCUUGACAUGUCUGGGACCGGUCGCAGAGACGCGACCUUCUCUUCGGAGCCCGGAACACAGGUGCUGCAUGGCUGUCGUCAGCUCGUGUCGUGAGAUGUUGGGUUAAGUCCCGCAACGAGCGCAACCCCCGUCCUUAGUUGCUACCAUUUAGUUGAGCACUCUAAGGAGACUGCCGGUGAUAAGCCGCGAGGAAGGUGGGGAUGACGUCAAGUCCUCAUGGCCCUUACGGGCUGGGCUACACACGUGCUACAAUGGCGGUGACAAUGGGACGCUAAGGGGCAACCCUUCGCAAAUCUCAAAAAGCCGUCUCAGUUCGGAUUGGGCUCUGCAACUCGAGCCCAUGAAGUUGGAAUCGCUAGUAAUCGUGGAUCAGCACGCCACGGUGAAUACGUUCCCGGGCCUUGUA